GGGUUGUGAGGUUAAGCGACUAAGCGUACACGGUGGAUGCCCUGGCAGUCAGAGGCGAUGAAGGACGUGCUAAUCUGCGAAAAGCGUCGGUAAGGUGAUAUGAACCGUUAUAACCGGCGAUGUCCGAAUGGGGAAACCCAGUGCAAUUCGUUGCACUAUCGUUAACUGAAUACAUAGGUUAACGAGGCGAACCGGGGGAACUGAAACAUCUAAGUACCCCGAGGAAAAGAAAUCAACCGAGAUUCCCCCAGUAGCGGCGAGCGAACGGGGAGCAGCCCAGAGUCUGAAUCAGCUUGUGUGUUAGUGGAACGGUCUGGAAAGUCCGACGGUACAGGGUGAUAGUCCCGUACACCAAAAUGCACAGGUUGUGAACUCGAAGAGUAGGGCGGGACACGUGGUAUCCUGUCUGAAUAUGGGGGGACCAUCCUCCAAGGCUAAAUACUCCUGACUGACCGAUAGUGAACCAGUACCGUGAGGGAAAGGCGAAAAGAACCCCGGCGAGGGGAGUGAAAAAGAACCUGAAACCGUGUACGUACAAGCAGUGGGAGCACCUUUAUGGUGUGACUGCGUACCUUUUGUAUAAUGGGUCAGCGACUUAUAUUCUGUAGCAAGGUUAACCGUAUAGGGGAGCCGCAGGGAAACCGAGUCUUAACUGGGCGUUAAGUUGCAGGGUAUAGACCCGAAACCCGGUGAUCUAGCCAUGGGCAGGUUGAAGGUUGGGUAACACUAACUGGAGGACCGAACCGACUAAUGUUGAAAAAUUAGCGGAUGACUUGUGGCUGGGGGUGAAAGGCCAAUCAAACCGGGAGAUAGCUGGUUCUCCCCGAAAGCUAUUUAGGUAGCGCCUCGUGAACUCAUCUUCGGGGGUAGAGCACUGUUUCGGCUAGGGGGUCAUCCCGACUUACCAACCCGAUGCAAACUACGAAUACCGAAGAAUGUUAUCACGGGAGACACACGGCGGGUGCUAACGUCCGUCGUGAAGAGGGAAACAACCCAGACCGCCAGCUAAGGUCCCAAAGUCAUGGUUAAGUGGGAAACGAUGUGGGAAGGCACAGACAGCCAGGAUGUUGGCUUAGAAGCAGCCAUCAUUUAAAGAAAGCGUAAUAGCUCACUGGUCGAGUCGGCCUGCGCGGAAGAUGUAACGGGGCUAAACCAUGCACCGAAGCUGCGGCAGCGACACGAUGUGUUGUUGGGUAGGGGAGCGUUCUGUAAGCCUGCGAAGGUGACCUGUGAGGGUUGCUGGAGGUAUCAGAAGUGCGAAUGCUGACAUAAGUAACGAUAAAGCGGGUGAAAAGCCCGCUCGCCGGAAGACCAAGGGUUCCUGUCCAACGUUAAUCGGGGCAGGGUGAGUCGACCCCAAGGCGAGGCCGAAAGGCGUAGUCGAUGGGAAACAGGUUAAUAUUCCUGUACUUGGUGUUACUGCGAAGGGGGACGGAGAAGGCUAUGUUAGCCGGGCGACGGUUGUCCCGGUUUAAGCAUGUAGGCUGGUUAUCCGUGCAAAUCCGGAUAAUCAAGGCUGAGGUGUGAUGACGAGGCACUACGGUGCUGAAGUAACAAAUGCCCUGCUUCCGUGAAAAGCCUCUAAGCAUCAGGUAACAUCAAAUCGUACCCCAAACCGACACAGGUGGUCAGGUAGAGAAUACCAAGGCGCUUGAGAGAACUCGGGUGAAGGAACUAGGCAAAAUGGUGCCGUAACUUCGGGAGAAGGCACGCUGGUGUGUAGGUGAAGUCCCUGCGGAUGGAGCUGAGACCAGUCGAAGAUACCAGCUGGCUGCAACUGUUUAUUAAAAACACAGCACUGUGCAAACACGAAAGUGGACGUAUACGGUGUGACGCCUGCCCGGUGCCGGAAGGUUAAUUGAUGGGGUUAUCCGUAAGGAGAAGCUCUUGAUCGAAGCCCCGGUAAACGGCGGCCGUAACUAUAACGGUCCUAAGGUAGCGAAAUUCCUUGUCGGGUAAGUUCCGACCUGCACGAAUGGCGUAAUGAUGGCCAGGCUGUCUCCACCCGAGACUCAGUGAAAUUGAACUCGCUGUGAAGAUGCAGUGUACCCGCGGCAAGACGGAAAGACCCCGUGAACCUUUACUAUAGCUUGACACUGAACAUUGAGCCUUGAUGUGUAGGAUAGGUGGGAGGCUUUGAAGCGUGGACGCCAGUCUGCGUGGAGCCAACCUUGAAAUACCACCCUUUAAUGUUUGAUGUUCUAACGUUGGCCCCUUAUCGGGGUUGCGGACAGUGUCUGGUGGGUAGUUUGACUGGGGCGGUCUCCUCCCAAAGCGUAACGGAGGAGCACGAAGGUUAGCUAAUCCUGGUCGGACAUCAGGAGGUUAGUGCAAUGGCAUAAGCUAGCUUGACUGCGAGCGUGACGGCGCGAGCAGGUGCGAAAGCAGGUCAUAGUGAUCCGGUGGUUCUGAAUGGAAGGGCCAUCGCUCAACGGAUAAAAGGUACUCCGGGGAUAACAGGCUGAUACCGCCCAAGAGUUCAUAUCGACGGCGGUGUUUGGCACCUCGAUGUCGGCUCAUCACAUCCUGGGGCUGAAGUAGGUCCCAAGGGGUAUGGCUGUUCGCCAUUUAAAGUGGUACGCGAGCUGGGUUUAGAACGUCGUGAGACAGUUCGGUCCCUAUCUGCCGUGGGCGCUGGAGAAUUGAGGGGGGCUGCUCCUAGUACGAGAGGACCGGAGUGGACGCAUCACUGGUGUUCGGGUUGUCAUGCCAAUGGCACUGCCCGGUAGCUAAAUGCGGAAGAGAUAAGUGCUGAAAGCAUCUAAGCACGAAACUUGCCCCGAGAUGAGUUCUCCCUGAGGCUUUAAGUCUCCUGAAGGAACGUUGAAGACGACGACGUUGAUAGGCCGGGUGUGUAAGCGCAGCGAUGCGUUGAGCUAACCGGUACUAAUGAACCGUGAGGCUUAACCUUACAACGCCGAAG
rnacentral:rRNA from 1 species